rnacentral:rRNA from 1 species
UUUUCCUACGGGGGGCAGCAGUGGGGAAUAUUGGGCAAUGGGCGCAAGCCUGACCCAGCAACGCCGCGUGAAGGAAGAAGGUCUUCGGAUUGUAAACUUUUGUCUUAUGGGACGAUAAUGACGGUACCAUAGGAGGAAGUCACGACUAACUACGUGCCAGCAGUCGCGGUAAUACGUAGGUGGCAAGCGUUAUCCGGAAUUAUUGGGUGUAAAGGGUGCGUAGGCGGGAUGUAAAGUCAGAUGUGAAAUGCCGCAGCUUAACUGCGGAGCUGCAUUUGAAACUUAUGUUCUUGAGUGAAGUAGAG